AUUGAACGCUGGCGGCAGGCCUAACACAUGCAAGUCGAACGAGUGGCGGACGGGUGAGUAAUGUCUGGGAAACUGCCUGAUGGAGGGGGAUAACUACUGGAAACGGUAGCUAAUACCGCAUACCAUCAGAUGUGCCCAGUUGGGCUUAGCUAGUUGGUGGGGUAACGGCUCACCAAGGCGACGCUCCCUAGCUGGUCUGAGAGGAUGACCGUCAACUCUGGAACUGAUGCACGGUACAGACUCCGACGGGAGGCAGCAGUGGGGAAUGUUGCACAAUGGGCGCAAGCCUGAUGCAGCCAGUCCGCGUGUAUGAAGAGGGCCUUCGGGUUGGAAAGUACUUUCAGCGGGGAGGCGUUACCCGCAGAAGAAGCACCGGCUAACUCCGUGCCAGCAGCCGCGGUAAUAC
rnacentral:rRNA from 1 species